UACGGAGGGAGCAAGCGUUACUCGGAAUUAUUGGGCGUAAAGGGCGCGUAGGCGGACCUGCAAGUCGGGGGUGAAAGCCCGAGGCUCAACCUCGGAACUGCCUUCGAUACUGCGGGUCUCGAGUCCGGGAGAGGUGAGUGGAAUUCCUAGUGUAGAGGUGAAAUUCGUAGAUAUUAGGAAGAACACCAGUGGCGAAGGCGGCUCACUGGUCCGGUACUGACGCUGAGGUGCGAAAGCGUGGGGAGCAAACAGGG
rnacentral:rRNA from 1 species